rnacentral:rRNA from 1 species
UACGUAGGGGGCCAGCGUUGUCCGAAGUUACUGGGCGUAAAGAGCGUGUAGGCGGGUCUUUAAGUGAGAGGUGAAAGGUUCAGGGCUCAACCCGAACACUGCCUUUCAUACUGGGGACCUUGAGGGCAGGAGAGGCGAGUGGAAUGGUCGGUGUAGCGGUGAAAUGCGUAGAUAUCGAUCGGAACACCCAUGGCGAAGGCAGCUCGCUGGCCUGCAUCUGACGCUGAGACGCGAAAGCGUGGGGAGCAAACAGG